GCCAAACUGGGAAAGGAGAGGACUCACAUCAACAUUGUGGUCAUCGGACAUGUAGAUUUGGGCAAGUCUAUCACCACCAGCCAUCUGAUCUACAAAUGUGGUGGCAUCGACAAGAAAACCAUCAAAAAGUUCGAGAAGGAGGCUGCCGAGGUGGGAAAGGGCUCCUUCAAGUAUGCCUGGGUCUUGGACAAACUGAAGGCAGAACGUGAGUGCAGUAUCACCAUUGAUACCUCCCUGUGGAAAUUCGAGACCAGCAAGUACUACAUGACCAUCAGUGCUGCCCCAGGACACAGAGACUUUAUCAAAAACAUGAUUGCAGGCAUAUCUCAGGCUGACUGUGCUGCCUGAUUGUGGCUGCUGUUGUCGGUGACUUUGAAGCAGGGAUCUCCAAGAAUGGGCAGCCCCGUGAGCAUGCCCUUCUGGCUCACACUCUGGGUGUGAAACAGCUAAUCAUUGGUGUUAACAAAAUGGAUUCCACUGAGCCACCCUACAGCCAGAAGAGAGAUGAGGAAAUUGUUAAGGAAGUCAGCACAUACAUUAAGAAAAUUGGCUACAACCCUGACACCAUAGCAUUUGUGCCAAUUUCUGGCUGGAAUGGUGACAACAUGCUGGAGCCAAGUGCUAACAUGCCUUGGUUCAAGGGAUGGAAAGUCACCUGUAAAGAUGGCAAUGCCAGUGGAACCAUGCUGCUUGAGGCUCUGGAUUGCAUCCUGCCACCAACUCAGCCAACUGACAAGCCCUCACAUCUGCCCCUCCAGGACAUCUACAAGAGUGGUGGUAUUGGUACUGUCCCUGUGGGUCGAGUGGAGACUGGUGGUCUCAAACCUGGCAUGGUGGUCACCUUUGCUCCAGUCAAUGUUACAACUGAAGUCAAGUCCGUUGAGAUGCACCAUGAAGCUUUGAGUGAAGCUCUCCCUGGGGACAAGGGGGCUUCAACAUCAAGAACGUUUUUGUCAAGGAUGUCCGUCGUGGCAACGUGGCUAGUGACAGCAAAAAUGAUCCACCGAUGGAAGCAGCUGGCUUCACAGCUCAGGUGAUUAUCUUGAACCACCCGGGCCAGAUCAGUGCUGGAUACGCACCUGUGCUGGAUUGUCACACACCUCACAUUGCUUGCAAGUUUGCUGAACUGAAGGAGAAGAUUGACUGUCAUUCUGGGAAAAAGCUGGAUUGUCACACACCUCACAUUGCUUGCAAGUUUGCUGAACUGAAGGAGAAGAUUGACUGUCAUUCUGGGAAAAAGCUGGAAGGUGGCCCCAAGUUCUUGAGAUCUGGUGAGGCUGCCAUUGUUGACAUGGUUCCUGGCAAGCCCAUGUGUGUUGAGAGCUUCUCUGACUAUCCUCCUCUGGGCCAUUUUGCUGUCCGUGACAUGAGACAGACGGUUGCUGUAGGUGUCACCAAGGCAGUGGACAAGAAGGCAGCUGGAGCUGGCAAGGUCACCAAGUCCACCCAGAAAGCUCAGAAGGCUAAAUGAGUAUUAUCCCCAGUACCUGCCGCCCCAGUCUUAAUCAGUGGUGGGAGAACGGUCUCAGAACUGUUUGUCUCAAUUGGCCAUUUAAGUUUAAUAGUUAAAGACUUGUUAAUGAUAACAGUGCAUCGUAAAACC